rnacentral:piRNA from 1 species
UAUCUAGUUGGAUGUCAAGA